rnacentral:pre_miRNA from 1 species
UGAUGAUAAUGAUGGUGAUGCUGAUGUGAUGAUGAUGAUGAUGAUCAUGAUCAUUAUGAUCAUCAUCAUCAUCAUCAUCAUCAUUAUCAAUAAUA